ensembl:lncRNA
UUUUCAUGCUGUACAUAAAAUCAUUUUUGACUUGCACACAGGGAUGCUGCUACUUUAUAUAACUUCUACCCUGUACCCUACAGGUAGCAAUAAAGCUGGGUAACUUGCUGCAACAAGCAGAGAGAGGAUAUAGUAGAAAAGAAGAGUGCUGGGGAGGUUCAGCUGUGCCCAUCAGUAGCAUUUUGUAUUUCCUGAGCACGAGACUGGUACCAGAUCUACGGCCUGCCCAAAGACCAGGCUGCUGAGGGAAGGAAGUGGCAUGCUGGGGAGUUCAGAGGUGUUGAAGACAACCCUGACCGUUCCUAAGCACCUCGUGGGAGGACGAGGAGGAGUGGGAAGCAGAGCUGAGCAUCGCUGCCCUGCAGCCCCGGCUGCCAGCGUUACCCCUGCCUGCCCUCCAGCUGCACGGCGCAAAGCCCAUGCAGAACUGCCAUGGCAGCAGGUCCCAGCCCUGUGCUGCCCAGAUAAGAGCAGCGAGACAGAGCCGCUUUAGUGACUGCACUUCAGCUGCUCUGUAACCAGAGAACAGAGCACACAGCACUUUGGAAAUGAAUUGAAACUGCAUAGAAUAGGAGAAGAAAAUCAGAUCUGAGUCCUGCUGAAGUCUUGGGCUCCUUCAACAAUUGGGGAGGUGAGGUUUGUGGUAAUCAGGUCAUGAAGCUGUGGUUGUGGCCGUGCCAUGGGCUGCGUGUAACAGAGCACAAUGAGUAGCACAACCUGGGUCUAGAAAUCAGGGUAUCUUCAUCUCUAGAAGCUGGGCUUUCAUCCCAGAUGUGGAGGGCUCUGAUACACAGGGCUUAAAGAAAAUCAGAAAUGUGGGCCAGGGGAGGGAACUGAACCUGUCCAACAUCUUGUUUCUUACCCGAACUCAAAAAAAAAAAUCACAACAAAAAGAACCACAAAUUCUGGUAUUUUCUUGAAGGAAAGACAGUGAGGGCCUUUAGGAAGACCCCUGGGCUCUGCACCUUGAGUGGGCUGAAAUAUUUCUCUGUAAUUCUUUUUUUUUGUGUGUGUGUGUGUGUGUGUGUGCUGGGGAUGUUCCAGCCCUAGUCUCAGCACAUGGGCUUUUUUUAGGUUCGACUGCAAGGCUCCUAGGGCACGGGUCAGCCAGUGUGAGGGAUCUGCUCCUGACCCUUCAGUCACCUUUUUAUGGAAACAGUCAUUAUGGCCUAAUUGAUAAUCUGGAGGACUGGCAGCAGUUAUCUGUGACAGAUGGCCUCUGCUGGGCAACCUCUGGCUCUGAUAGCUCCAAAAUAUGACACAAGUCUCAGCUUUUCAAGAAAGCCUUUACCAGAUGGGUCUAAAUUAAAGCAUGGCCUUUCCCAUUGCUUUAUAGAUGAUAGCUAAUUAACCACAGAAUGGGUAGCUCUGCUCCUGCUGAGGGCAGGCAGAAGUGGGUGUUUGAUAUCGAAGCGUUUAUGGGUUUGGUUCCAGUACGUCUGUAAGGAGAGAUGAUGAAGCCAUUAGACUAAAUGUCGAUGUGUGUGUUGAGCUGUCCAUUAUUCUGAACGUACCAGAGCUGGCCCAAAACAGGGCACUUCUUGGGAUGUACGUCGUGAAAAAAUGUUUCUUUUCUCUCAUUUUUAUUAUAGUUCUGUAAUGACCAACCCUAUAUCAGCUUGUGUUUCUGUAAUCAGUCCUAUUAGGAGACUACUGCCGAAAUUUGUGGUCACAGCUGAGGAGCACAGAAGAGGCUGAAAUAAAGCUCUCUUCUUGCUUUCCAAGUGCUGCCUGCAUCCAUUUGUUUCUGGCAGUCAUUCCCCACUCAGCAGGCAGGUUUGUUGUCUGACAUUUGAACCUCCAGCUUGUUUAGCAGGGCUCCUCUCAAUCCUGGGUUUGCUUCUCUGAGGAAGCGUUAUCCCCAGGCUCCGGCAGGAUGCUUUAUUCUCUUUUUCUCUUGUGCAUGAGAAUGGCUCCAAGAGAUUGUUCUCCUUCGGGCAGGAAAUCCUGAAAACGCUGGAACUUUUCAAUUAGAUGCAUUGCAAACAGUGCUGAUUGCCAGCCUUCUCUUUCUUCUCUUACAUUAGCUAUAAAAAGCAUUUUCUCAUCCCCUCCCCAAUCAAAUUGAAAAUGGCC